rnacentral:rRNA from 1 species
ACGCUGGCGGCGUGCUAACCAUGCAGUCGAGCGAGAGGCUCCCUCGGGGGGUACAUCAGCGGCGAACGGGUGAGUAACACGUAGGGUGACUUCACCCAAGACGGGGAUAACUCUUGGAAACAGGGGCUAAUACCCGAUGUGCUCAGCAGUUCAUUCUGUUGAGUAAAGCUAUGGCGCUUUGGGAUGGGCCCGCGGNCCAUCAGCUAGUUGGUAGGGUAAAGGCCUACCAAGGCUAAGACGGGUAGGGGGCGUGAGAGCGCGAUCCCCCACACUGGCACUGAGACACGGGCCAGACUCCUACGGGAGGCAGCAGUGAGGAAUAUUGCGCAAUGGACGAAAGUCUGACGCAGCGACGCCGCGUGGGCGAUGAAGGCCUUCGGGUCGUAAAGCCCUUUUCUGGGGGAAGAGAAAGGACGGUACCCCAGGAAUAAGCCCCGGCUAACUACGUGCCAGCAGCCGCGGUAAAACGUAGGGGGCAAGCGUUAUCCGGAUUUACUGGGCGUAAAGAGCGUUGAGGCGGUUUUGUAAGUUGGGCGUGAAAGCCCUGGGCUUAACUCAGGGAAGCCGUUCAAUACUGCGAAACUUGAGGGCAGCAGAGGGAGGUGGAAUUCCCGGAGUAGCGGUGAGAUGCGUAGAUAUCGGGAGGAACACCAGUGGCGAAGGCGGCCUCCUGGGCUGCUCCUGACGCUGAAGGCGAAAGCUAGGGGAGCGAACGGGAUUAGAAACCCCGGUAGUCCUAGCCGUAAACGAUGGAUGCUAGGUGUGGGGGGUGUAGAUUCCC